rnacentral:rRNA from 1 species
ACUCAAAGGAAUUGACGGGGACCCGCACAAGCGGUGGAGCAUGUGGUUUAAUUCGAGGCAACGCGAAGAACCUUACCAAGGCUUGACAUGGAGUCGCAAGGUAUAGAGAUAUGCCCCCCCUUCGGGGCGGCUCACACAGGUGGUGCAUGGUUGUCGUCAGCUCGUGUCGUGAGAUGUUGGGUUAAGUCCCGCAACGAGCGCAACCCUUGCGUCCAGUUGCCAGCGCGUCAUGGCGGGCUACACUGGAGGGACUGCCGUGGACAACACGGAGGAAGGUGGGGAUGACGUCAAAUCAUCAUGCCCCUUAUGUCUUGGGCUACACACGUGCUACAAUGGGGCACACAGCGUGAUGCAAAACAGCGAUGUGGAGCGGAACACGAAAAUGCCCCUCAGUUCGGAUUGUAGGCUGCAACCCGCCUGCAUGAAGUUGGAAUCGCUAGUAAUCGCGAAUCAGCAUGUCGCGGUGAAUACGUUCCCGGGUCUUGUACACACCGCCCGU